rnacentral:misc_RNA from 1 species
GAUGAAGAACGCAGCGAAAUGCGAUAAGUAAUGUGAAUUGCAGAAUUCAGUGAAUCAUCGAAUCUUUGAACGCACCUUGCGCCCUUUGGCCAUUCCGAAGGGCAUGCCUGUUUGAGUAUCAUGAACACCUCAACUCUCAUGGCUUGCCGUGAUGAGCUUGGACUUUGGGGGUCUUGCUGGCCUGUGGUUGGCUCCUCUCAAAUGAAUCAGCUUACCGGUGUUUGGUGGCAUCACAGGUGUGAUAACUAUCUACGCUUGUGGUUUUCCACCAGGUUAACCUUCAGCGAUGGAGGUUCGCUGGAGCUCAUAAAUGUCUCUUCUCGGUGAGGACAGCUCUUUGAACGUUUGAUCUCAAAUCAGGUAGGACUACCCGCUGAACUUAAGCAUAUCAAUAAGCGGAGGA